AGUUGUCAUUCACAUUCAUUUGCAUUCUCUAUGUAUAUACACAUAGAUAAUGGAUGUGCAGAGGUAUGUAUUGAUAUAUGAAUGUUGAUGUGUUUUUGUGGUGAUGUAUGCAUUUAUGUACUUGUUUGUCGGUGUGUACUUACAGGAGGGCCAUCAAUGCCUGGUAGUCCCUGCAUGCCUUGUUUCCCCUGGGGACCCUGUAUGGGACAGAGAGAGCAUGAAUACUGUAGUAAAGCUUAAGAUAAGAUAGAACACCUCAACUGAUCCCUAAAAGACCACAUUUCCCACUUUGCUGCUCCUCUACAAACAUAUUAUAUUUAUGACUAAGUCUACCUUUUAUUUCUCUGAUCAGUCUAGCCUCAUGAAGCACCCCGGCCAAGGCCAUCCCCAGUGUCUGUUAUGCCUGUGUGUGUUUCUUGUGUAUUGAUUUCCUGUCUAGCCUUGUCUUCUCUGAAUGGGAGCCAGAAGUGCCUGGGUUGAACUGUCCUGCUCAGCCAGCCUCCCCUGGUCCAAUGGCACCCUGAGGACCAGGCAGGCCCUGGACCAGAACAAAGCAUCAGUCAGUACCUGUACUCCUGGAUUUCCCUGUUGACCUGGGGGCCCUAUCUCUCCAGAUGGACCCUGAGAACAAGAAACAUAGCAGGUUGGACCAACAGGCCAAAAGCUGCUUGGCCCACAGAGAAAACACCUGCCCCUCAAGGCCUCUA